GCCAGUGAGCUCAUUGGUUAGAGCAUCGGCCUGCACACCGAUGGGUCCUGGGUUCAAUUCCCAGUCAAGGGCA
rnacentral:tRNA from 1 species